rnacentral:rRNA from 1 species
AUUGAACGCUGGCGGCAUGCCUUACACAUGCAAGUCGAACGGCAGCACGGGUGCUUGCACCUGGUGGCGAGUGGCGAACGGGUGAGUAAUACAUCGGAACGUACCUUAUCGUGGGGGAUAACGCAGCGAAAGCUGUGCUAAUACCGCAUACGCCCUGAGGGGGAAAGCGGGGGAUCGAAAGACCUCGCGCGACUAGAGCGGCCGAUGCCUGAUUAGCUUGUUGGUGGGGUAAAAGCCCACCAAGGCGACGAUCAGUAGCUGGUCUGAGAGGACGAUCAGCCACGCUGGGACUGAGCAACGGCCCAGACUCCUACGGGAGGCAGCAGUGGGGAAUUUUGGACAAUGGGGGCAACCCUGAUCCAGCAAUGCCGCGUGAGUGAAGAAGGCCUUCGGGUUGUAAAGCUCUUUUGUCAGGGAAGAAACACCGGCUCUAACACAGUCCGGGAAUGACGGUACCUGAAGAAUAAGCACCGGCUAACUACGUGCCAGCAGCCGCCGUAA